GAUGAACGCUAGCGGCAGGCUUAAUACAUGCAAGUCAAGGGGGUAGCAAUACAACCGGCGCACGGGUGAGUAACGCGUACACAACAUACCAUAUACUGGGGUAUAGCUUUGGGAAACUGAAGGUAAUCCCCCAUAACAUUGCGAGAGGGCAUCUGAUUGCAAUUAAAGUUUCGGCGGUAUAUGAUUGGUGUGCGUUUGAUUAGCUAGUUGGUAGGGUAACGGCCUACCAAGGCGACGAUCAAUAGCUGGCGUGAGAGCGCGACCAGCCACACUGGAACUGAGACACGGUCCAGACUCCUACGGGAGGCAGCAGUAGGGAAUAUUGGACAAUGGAGGAAACUCUGAUCCAGCCAUGCCGCGUGAUAGAUGAAGGCCCUCUGGGUUGUAAAUAUCUUUUAUCUGGGAAGAACAAUCUUAUUCUUAAGAUCUUGACGGUACCAGAGGAAUAAGCACCGGCUAACUCCGUGCCAGCAGCCGCGGUAAU
rnacentral:rRNA from 1 species